UACGUAGGGGUGCAAGCGUUAAAUCGGAAUUACUGGGGCGUAAAGCGUGCGCAGGCGGUUGUGCAAGACAGAUGUGAAAAUCCCCCGGGCUUAAACCUGGGAAUUGCAUUUUGUGACUGCACGGCUAGAGUGUGUCAGAGGGGGGGUAGAAUUCCACGUGUAGCAGUGAAAAUGCGUAGAUAUGUGGAGGAAUACCGAUGGCGAAGGCAGCCCCCUGGGAUAACACUGAACGCUCAUGCACGAAAGCGUGGGGGAGCAAAACAGGG
rnacentral:rRNA from 1 species